AUUUUUUCACGUAAAGUAUUAUUUAUGUUUCCGCUGAAUCAAAAGCAUAUCAUGCUAGGUUUUCUGGUUUAAGAAUAACUAAAAGCCAUGAUCCUUCUUCAUGUUAAAUAUCUGAGAUGCUAACUGAUGUCCGUACAUGUUGACUUGGUUUCUAGUGAAUCAAACAUAUAAUCGGGCUUUGGAAGCUUGCAUCCCCUUGUCUUUCUAAACACGAUGUUAUUUUUGUAUGUCUUGUCAGCAGGCUCGCGUGCUGCAAUGGUUAGGUGAAGAGCUGGUCAGAUGGGGGCGAUCUCAACGUUGAGAACGAGCAUUCCCCCUGGCUCAUUUCCAUCCUCAAUUUUGAGAUCAGCAGCAGCCCCAUCACCUCCCUCUAAUAAGCUAGAGUUGGCCAUGCAUAAAAUUGGUGGGUUUUGUGUACAGUAGUUUCCAUAUUCUAUGCAGUGUAAAGCAAAAGCAUCGGAGCAAUAGCUAGCAGAAGUUGAGGAGAGGACUAAUCUUUUGGGUUUUUAAGCUUUCCUAGGUUUACUCUUAUCAGCCUCCAGGUAUUCACAAGGCACCAGAACUCGUUUUAUUUCGUUUUUUGAUGUGUUCUCGACUGUAUUUUCUUCCCUUUCUCGGAAUGUUGUUUCUCUAAUUUGGAAACGUGAAGUAUCAUGCAAUGUGGAGUUCUAUCUAUAAUCAUGUGCCAUGAGCAAAUAUUAUUGUUUGCCAUGAUCUGGCUAGAAAGGUGUAAUCUUGCAGAUUUUUUUUCGAGCUUUUUGUUUCGUGAUUUUGUCCCCAUUUUUACUGGUCAUAGACAACAGUCUUAUCUUUAGACUCUUUAACUGCUUUUUCUCUCCACCUCUCAUUGUUUUGAUAUUUUAUAGCGGAUCUUUUGAAAAGUUAUUUUUCUAAAAAAAAUUGAAGAGGAAAAGGAAUAGCAUUUAUAAGUUAUAAAUGUCAUGUUUGUAAUGUUUUGGAAUAGUAUGCGUGUAUUGUUUUGGUAAUCAUGUUUGAUUGAAAAUGGUUCAAUGCUGUAAAUCAUAUAUAAAAACUGUAACAGUUAUGUUUUUUAUUCCAAGAUUUAAAGAGGAAAAGAAGAAAAUAAAAUUGGGAGUAGUNAAUCUAAUUCCCCUAUAAUAAAUCGAAUUACAAUCGAAUUUUGCGAAACCACAAGGAUUUUGGUGCUAUUUCUCCUAUAAUAAAUAUCUUUAAAUAAUUCAUUAUUUACACCAAAUGUCAUUAUCUCCGCACAUAAUUAUCUCUCUUUAUUUCUCUCUCAUAUUUUUUGAACAAAUAUAUACUCACAAAAAGUUGCUUUCUCUCUCAUAUUUUAUUAUAAACUAUUAAUUUCUUAAUAUCUGUACCCAAAUCUUGUGGCCUAUUGAAUUAGGACGGAUAAAGUAAUUUAGUUCACUUUUUUAAUCAAUAUUACAUUAUCACGAUGAUUUGACAAUAAAGUAAAAAAAUGUUUAUUGAACUAAUGACGUUGUAUAUAUAGGGAUACAUGUUUUUAUUUUUUAUUAUUUUUUUUAUUUUUUAGGCAUUAUAGGGUACAUGUUGAUUGACAUAAAAAUCAUACUUUUACACAUAUUAGCAUUUUUUUUCGGACACUUUUUAAACGUUUUAAUGUGCAAUAUCAUUUUUUUCAAUUUGUAUGUGUUUUCUAAAAAAAUAUACUAACAAUGAAUCAAUGAUACAAAUUAAAGAUGAUGUUAUAAUUAAAACAUAACGUCGUAUCGAAAUUAUAAAUAAAUCACUGGCCAACACUAUACCCCCACCAUUUCCCCACAAAUAUUCGAUUUCAGAAAGCAUUAGAAAAAUGAUUAGAGAAUCUAUGCACGCACCACCACUUUUCCCCAUCAUAUUUUAAGUGAUCGUACUAAAUUAGUACACUUUGUUAGACGUAAAUUAGUACACAUUAAAAAAAAUAAGAGUUAAUUACCUAGAAAUUAUAGUAUCAAAUUUUAGUUUUUAGAUAUAAAUUUUAAUGUUUGGUGUGAUAAUUACUUAAAUUAUUAACUGAAUUUGAUUUGGUUACUAAUCAAAAUUUCAAUAAAUUUAUUAACGACACAAUGAGUAAAAUAAUUGGCGUGACAUAGUUGUUCUUGCGUGGUAAUCUGUUGAGUAGUAAUGUCAUCAAUAAAUUAAUUGAAAUUAUAACGGGUCACAAAUCAAAUUAAAUCAAUAUUAUUAUAGUUUAAUUUUUAAAAUUUAUAGGUGUAUAAAAUCAGACUUUGAUAAAAAAAAUUCAAUCAAUUAAUCCUAAAAAUAAUAUCGAGAAUAAAUUAAAACGAAUAAAAGAAGACAACCAUGGAAGCCUAGUGAUUCGCAAUCAACGAAAGUAAAAAGUUGUUAGCUAUAAAUAAAGAAAUGCAGUGAAAAAUUGGACCCGCAUUUGUUCAGCUGUUUGGAAUUUGAGGAAUCUUGAAUCAAUGGCUCCUGUAAAUCGCCCCGUUUCUUUCCCCCAUUGAAUUGUCGCCAUUUGUAUCCUUCGCUAAAGCUCUUUUUAGCCCUUUUCCUAGGGCUUCCUUUCCCCCCUUAUAAAUCCCCUCGUCACCCCAAUUUCCGCGUCGUGCCGCUUGCUCUUGCGCUAAAGAUUCAAUUUUCGAAAGGUUGGGUUGUGGAAUUCAUCACUUGAUUGUAAGUCAUUUUGCUUUUCUUCCCGAUUUGCUUUUUGUAAUUUUUUUGGAACUUCGUUACCAUUUAGGCGUGGUUGAUCGUGGUUAGACUUCUAUUUACUGAUUUUCACCAUUUCUUUUUUGCUCGACGAGGGUGAAUUUUAGCUGAAUUGAAGUGCCCUGAAUUUUGAUUUUUGACAUGGUAGUUAUAGCUCGUAGUUUUACGGCGUGGAAUUUUCUUUACAAUUCUUGGCAUACUGUCGUUUGGUUCGCGUUGAUAGAAAUUGUUUCGCCCUAAUUUAGUCUAAUUUUGUGUAAUUUUUUUUAUUUUCUUCUGCGUAGGGUUUGUUUCUUUAUUUUGACUAUAAAGGAUUGGACACUCAGAGAGUCAGAGUUAUCCGUGAAAGACAGUAUAUAUCUGCUGAAAUGGAUGAUGGGGAGCUUGAUUUCCCAAAUGACCAAUGUUGUCAUGCUUGGACAUAACUAAUGCUCAGAGCAGUUGCUCGUUCGACAUAGACGAGUUUCUUAGUCGGACGCAGCUUGCAAUGAUGCCCUUGGUCGAACAGAGGCUUACACCGAUGGUCUUGGUCGAACACAGGCCUGCACUCAUGCUCAUGCUUGCAACCCGUCGGGCCCUGAUCAAUCCCACACGCAUACGUGCAUUCAUGUCCACACGCAAAUUAUGCCCUCCCCUAGUGAAGGUCAGGACCCCAGCGACGACACCGCUGAAUCGGUGGAUAAGAAAUCUAAAAAGAGGCCGUUGGGCAACCGUGAAGCUGUACGUAAGUACAGGGAGAAGAAGAAAGCUAGGGCUGCAUCAUUGGAGGAUGAGGUUAUCAGGUUGAGGGCUUUGAACCAGCAGCUAAUGAAGAGGCUCCAGGGUCAGGCGUUGCUGGAGGCCGAGGUUGCUAGGCUUAAGUGCUUGCUCGUGGACAUCAGAGGGAGGAUUGAGGGAGAAAUUGGAUCUUUCCCUUACCAGAAGCCGAACAAGAGUGAGGACGUCUAUCAGAACAUGGCGAAUCCUAAUAAUCCUGGAAGAUACGUGAUCAAUCCGUGUAAUAUGCAGCGUAAUGAUCCGCUUUACUGCAUUCAUCCUGGAUCAGAAGCGGCGUUAAGUGGGCAAGGCCUUGGGGAUUGUGGGUUUGACAAUCUUCAAUGUCCGGGAAAUCAAAAUUCUGAUCCGGAGGAAUUCCCUGAUUGUGGACUCGGCAAUGUUAACCUUGUUUCUAAUGCCAAUGCUUCCAGUGGAAGUAAAAGAAAAGGUAAACCAUUAUAAGCCUCCUUGUUUUCAGCACGCCUUCUUAAGAAUACCUUGAUAAGAAGUUAAGAACCUCUCUGUUGUAUCAUUUGUCUUCUCUAAUUUAAAUCAUUUUCCUUGGGUUAUCAUAUUUCCGUAUCUUAGUCGUUGUUUAGCUGGAAAAUUUCCAUGUCACACUAUUUGCUUGCUUGUAAUUCAGUCACUCUCUCUUGCCCUGCAUAUCUCCUUUUGCUUAUUUUGUAGACAGCUUACGUUGUUGGUAUUGUCAAUAGAGAUUUAGGUUACAUGUUCGAUGAAGGGUGCAAUUUUGGCAUGAUGCAUGUUUCAAAAUAUUGAGGAAUCCCAUUCUAUAAUAUGAUCUUUUUGCUUUAUGUGUAUGUGUAGGGUAGGGACAUAUUUCUCAAACUAUUAUUAUCAUACAUUAAUAUGGACUGACUAAAGAACAUUAGAAUUUUGCAAUGUUUUAGUCCUCUUUUCUAUUUAGGUAAGUAUCACAUGGAGAAGCAUGUAACUCAUGCGAAUGUUCUCCAACGCCUUCUUGAGAUGACUGGUCUGGAUGCUUGAUUUUUCUCGAGGCAAAUGGAUGUAUUUUUUAGUGUAUAGUUGACAUAGUAAAUUUUUUCACGUAAAGUAUUAUUUAUGUUUCCGCUGAAUCAAAAGCAUAUCAUGCUAGGUUUUCUGGUUUAAGAAUAACUAAAAGCCAUGAUCCUUCUUCAUGUUAAAUAUCUGAGAUGCUAACUGAUGUCCGUACAUGUUGACUUGGUUUCUAGUGAAUCAAACAUAUAAUCGGGCUUUGGAAGCUUGCAUCCCCUUGUCUUUCUAAACACAAUGUUAUUUUUGUAUGUCUUGUCAGCAGGCUCGCGUGCUGCAAUGGUUAGGUGAAGAGCUGGUCAGAUGGGGGCGAUCUCAACGUUGAGAACGAGCAUUCCCCUGGCUCAUUUCCAUCCUCAAUUUUGAGAUCAGCAGCAGCCCCAUCACCUCCCUCUAAUAAGCUAGAGUUGGCCAUGCGUAAAAUUCGUGGGUUUUGUGUACAGUAGUUUCCAUAUUCUAUGCAGUGUAAAGCAAAAGCAUCGGAGCAAUAGCUAGCAGAAGUUGAGGAGAGGACUAAUCUUUUGGGUUUUUAAGCUUUCCUAGGUUUACUCUUAUCAGCCUCCAGGUAUUCACAAGGCACCAGAACUCGUUUUAUUUCGUUUUUUGAUGUGUUCUCGACUGUAUUUUCUUCCCUUUCUCGGAAUGUUGUUUCUCUAAUUUGGAAACGUGAAGUAUCAUGCAAUGUGGAGUUCUAUCUAUAAUCAUGUGCCAUGAGCAAAUAUUAUUGUUUGCCAUGAUCUGGCUAGAAAGGUGUAAUCUUGCAGAUUUUUUUUUCGAGCUUUUUGUUUCGUGAUUUUGUCCCCAUUUUUACUGGUCAUAGACAACAGUCUUAUCUUUAGACUCUUUAACUGCUUUUUCUCUCCAC
rnacentral:lncRNA from 1 species